CAGUAGCCACGGGAAUACGAAGGGGGCUAGCGUUGUUCGGAUUUACUGGGCGUAAAGCGCACGUAGGCGGAUCCUUAAGUCAGGGGUGAAAUCCCGAGGCUCAACCUCGGAACUGCCCUUGAUACUGGGUGUCUUGAGUCCGGGAGAGGUGAGUGGAACUGCGAGUGUAGAGGUGAAAUUCGUAGAUAUUCGCAAGAACACCAGCGGCGAAGGCGGCUCACUGGCCCGGAACUGACGCUGAGGUGCGAAAGCGUGGGGAGCAAACAGGAUUAGAUACCCCCGUAGUCCCUGUCUCUUAUAC
rnacentral:rRNA from 1 species